CGGCAGAAGACAAUUUGUUGCUGAGUGUCAGGGAGAUAUGAUAAACGAUGCAGAAUACUAGCGCAGAAGAUGAGUUUAUCACCCAUCAUGUGCUGCGUUUAUGUUUGCAUUCAAGUGGAGAGGGAAACGUGGUGCAUUGAUGCUUCACGAGAAGAUGAUUCAUUUGGGUGACUAGUGAAUGAUGAACACAGGGGGCCAAACUGCCGGAUGAAAAGGAUUGAUGUGGAUGGUGUGCCACACCUAUGUUUGUUUGCUUUGAAUGACAUUCAAGAGGGAGAAGAAAUGACCUAUGAUUAUGGUGGCGAAGACUGCUCAUGGAGAACACAAAUGACCAGCGUGACAGUCACAGGUGUGGUUUCCCAACCCUCUUCUCUGCCUCAGAGUCAGAUGGAUGAUGAUGAUA